rnacentral:rRNA from 1 species
GAACGCUGGCGGCGUGCCUAAUACAUGCAAGUAGAACGCUGAAGAGAGGAGCUUGCUCUUCUUGGAUGAGUUGCGAACGGGUGAGUAACGCGUAGGUAACCUGCCUUGUAGCGGGGGAUGACUAUUGGAAACGAUAGCUAAUACCGCAUAACAAUGGAUGACACAUGUCAUUUAUUUGAAAGGGGCAAUUGUUCCACUACAAGAUGGACCUGCGUUGUAUUAGCUAGUAGGUGAGGUAAUGGCUCACCUAGGCGACGAUACAUAGCCGACCUGAGAGGGUGAUCGGCCACACUGGGACUGAGACACGGCCCAGACUCCUACGGGAGGCAGCAGUAGGGAAUCUUCGGCAAUGGGGGCAACCCUGACCGAGCAACGCCGCGUGAGUGAAGAAGGUUUUCGGAUCGUAAAGCUCUGUUGUAAGUCAAGAACGGGUGUGAGAGUGGAAAGUUCACACUGUGACGGUAGCUUACCAGAAAGGGACGGCUAACUACGUGCCAGCAGCCGCGGUAAU